rnacentral:tRNA from 1 species
GUACUGUACUAUUAACAGACAAUAGUUAUUUUCAUAAAUUCCUAAUUUUGGAAAUUUUAACACGUGCCAUGAAUAUCUGUAAAAUUCGGUUUACUCCUUGCAGAUAAUUGUUGAAGAAGAUUCUGUAGUGUAGUGGUUAUCACGUUUGCUUAAUACGCGAAAGGUCCUCGGUUCGAAACCGGGCGGAAACAGUGCUCUUUGACACGUACAGUACUUUUAAAAGAGAAUAGUUAUUUUCAUAAAUGCCUAAAUUUGGAAAUUUCAACACGUGCCAUGAAUAUCUGUAAAAUUCGGUUUACUCCUUGCAGAUAAUUGUUGAAGCAGUUUCUGUAGUGUAGCGGUUAUCACGUUCGCUUAACACGCGAAAGGUCCUCGGUUCGAAACCGGGCGGAAACAGAGCUCUUUGACACGUGCAGUAGGUACUGUACUUUCAACAAAGAAUUGUUAUUUUCAUGAAUUCUGUAUUUUGGAAAUUCGAAUACGUGCCAUGAAUAUCUGUAAAAUUCGGUUUACUCCUCGCAGGUAAAUGUAGCAGCAUUUUCUGUAGUGUAGUGGUUAUCACGUUUGUUCACACGCGAAAGGUCACUGGUUCGAAACCAGGCGGAAACAACGCUCAUCGACACAUUCAAGAAGUACCAUAGUGUUAACAAAGAAUUUCAUUAAUCCCUUAUUUUGGAAAUUCGAAUACGUGCCAUGAAUAUUUUUAAAAUUCGGUUUACUCCUUGCAGCUAAUUGUAGCAGUAGUUUCUGUGGUGUAGUGGUUAUCACGUUCGCUUCACACGCGAAAUGUCCCUGGUUCGAAACUGGGCGGAAACAACGCUCAUUGACACAUUCUGUAGUACCAUAGUGGUAACAGAAAAUUUCAUGAAUUCUUUAUUUUGGAAAUUCCAAUACGUGCCAUGAAUAUUUUUAAAAUUCGGUUUACUCCUUGCAGAAAAAUCAAGCAGCAGUUUCUGUAGUGUAGUGGUUAUCACGUUAGCUUUACACGUGAAAGGUCCUCAGUUUGAAACCGGGAGGAAACACUGCUCUUUGACAUGUGCAGUAGGUACUGUACUAUUAACAGACAAUAGUUAUUUUCAUAAAUUCCUAAUUUUGGAAAUUUGAACACGUGCCAUGAAUAUCUGUAAAAUUCGGUUUACUCCUUGCAGAUAAUUGUUGAAGAAGAUUCUGUAGUGUAGUGGUUAUCACGUUUGCUUAAUACGCGAAAGGUCCUCGGUUCGAACCCGGGCGGAAACAGAGCUCUUUGACACGUGCAGUAGGUACUGUACUUUCAACAAAGAAUUGUUAUUUUCAUAAAUUCUGUAUUUUGGAAAUUCGAAUACGUGCCAUGAAUAUCUGUAAAAUUCGGUUUACUCCUUGCAGCUAAAUGUAGCAGCAGUUUCUGUAGUGUAGUGGUUAUCACGUUCGCUUUACACGUGAAAGGUCCUCAGUUUGAAACCGGGCGGAAACACUGCUCUUUGACAUGUGCAGUAGGUACUGUACUAUUAACAGACAAUAGUUAUUUUCAUAAAUUCCUAAUUUUGGAAAUUUGAACACGUGCCAUGAAUAUCUGUAAAAUUCGGUUUACUCCUUGCAGAUAAUUGUUGAAGAAGAUUCUCUAGUGUAGUGGUUAUCACGUUUGCUUAAUACGCGAAAGGUCCUCGGUUCGAACCCGGGCGGAAACAGAGCUCUUUGACACGUGCAGUAGGUACUGUACUUUCAACAAAGAGUUGUUAUUUUCAUAAAUUCUGUAUUUUGGAAAUUCGAAUACGUGCCCUGAAUAUCUGUAAAAUUCGGUUUACUUCUAGCAGGAAAAUCAAGCAGCAGUUUCUGUAGUGUAGUGGUUAUCACGUUCGCUUUACACGCGAAAGGUCCUCGGUUUUUAACCGGGCGGAAACAGAGCUCUUUGACAAGAGCAGUAGGUACUGUACUUUCAACAAAGAAUUGUUAUUUUCAUAAAUUCUGUAUUUUGGAAAUUCGAAUACGUGCCAUGAAUAUCUGUAAAAUUCGGUUUACUCCUUGCAGCUAAAUGUAGCAGCAGUUUCUGUAGUGUAGUGGUUAUCACGUUCGCUUUACACGUGAAAGGUCCUCAGUUUGAAACCGGGAGGAAACAGUGCUCUUUGACAUGUGCAGUAGGUACUGUACUAUUAACAGAGAAUAGUUAUUUUCAUAAAUGCCUAAUUUUGGAAAUUUGAACACGUGCCA